rnacentral:rRNA from 1 species
AGUGAACGCUGGCGGUAGGCCUAACACAUGCAAGUCGAACGGCAGCACAGUAAGAGCUUGCUCUUACGGGUGGCGAGUGGCGGACGGGUGAGGAAUACAUCGGAAUCUACUUUUUCGUGGGGGAUAACGUAGGGAAACUUACGCUAAUACCGCAUACGACCUACGAGUGAAAGCAGGGGAUCUUCGGACCUUGCGCGAUUGAAUGAGCCGAUGUCGGAUUAGCUAGUUGGCGGGGUAAAGGCCCACCAAGGCGACGACCCGUAGCUGGUCUGAGAGGAUGAUCAGCCACACUGGAACUGAGACACGGUCCAGACUCCUACGGGAGGCAGCAGUGGGGAAUAUUGGACAAUGGGCGCAAGCCUGAUCCAGCCAUACCGCGUGGGUGAAGAAGGCCUUCGGGUUGUAAAGCCCUUUUGUUGGGAAAGAAAAGCAGCAGGUUAAUACCCCGCUGUUCUGACGGUACCCAAAGAAUAAGCACCGGCUAACUUCGUG